UUAUUUAGCUAGAUAAACUAGAUAAUUUUAUUGAAAAUAAAAUAUUUUGAACACCUAAAUA
rnacentral:tRNA from 1 species